AGAAUCAACGCUGGCGGCGUGCCUAACACAUGCAAGUCGAACGAGAAAGUGGAGCAAUCCAUGAGUACAGUGGCGCACGGGUGAGUAACACGUGACUAACCUACCCUGGAGUGGGGGAUAACUGAGGGAAACCUUAGCUAAUACCGCAUAACACCUACGGGUCAAAGGAGCAAUUCGCUUCAGGAGGGGUCGCGGCCGAUUAGUUAGUUGGCGGGGUAAUGGCCCACCAAGACGAUGAUCGGUA
rnacentral:rRNA from 1 species